CAACAAUUUUGAUACUCAUUCAGACAGAGAGGAAGUUGACAACAUUACUCCUUUCCAUUGCUUCAUUCCUUCCUGUCUUAAUAUUUGCAAUACUGCAAUUCCGUCUGUACGUCUCCUUUAUGGGCUCUACAUUCAAAAACUGGAUAGCUCAUCUAUCGUUUCCUGGCCCUUGCCUACAAUGGAAGAAAAAGCUCGGUCCCAAGAAGAAGGAAAAAAGCUCGACUUGAUUAAUAUUGGAGACUAAAGUGGCACAGAGGUUUUUCCUUUUUAUUGUUGGUUUGCACCUCUACUAUUGAUCACUACAUAUUGAGUGUUACAGAAUGUUUGAUUGAUCAAUUUCGUGAUAUUUAUGAGGUUGCGCUAUCUUCAAUGAUGGCCUUAGAAGUCAGUAUGUGUUAAAUAUAUAGUGUGUAAUAAGUUCUGGUAUGAAGUUAGGACUAAAAUCUUGCUUCAAUCGGUUACUUGUAGUAAAACUGGGUGUAAGUUUAUGGUUAUUAUUAUUAAUGGAUAUCUCUCUUCGAUUUUCUCAA